rnacentral:lncRNA from 1 species
CACUGCAUCUGCUGAGGGACUGAAUGGAUUUGGCGUCCAGCAUGGGCCCUUUGCUGUGCUGAUCUCAGGCUAGUUGCCCCAUGUCCUCCUCAGCUUCCUCACUCCAUUCUUCCAUCCAGUCCUGCAGAGAUUCAAUGUGGUCCCAGAUGUCAGAAGAGGAGACACAAUGAGUGUCAGAAGAAAGUCGGCAGGACAAAAUUUGGUGAAUUUUCUUCAAAAGGAAGAAAGGAUCAAAGUGUGACCAGAUGACAAAAUAGGUCACAGGAUUUGCUUCAAAUCAUCGGAAACCAUGGGACAGCAGUCUCUCUUGUCACAGACAGACCUUCCAGGGGGAUUCUUGAGUUAUUCAAGCUUCUGCAAAAUGGCCCCUGGACCCAUGGUUGGGAAAUGGGGACUUGAUGGACUAACCACACCUAAAGGAGAAACUGUCAAGCAAGAGCGGGAGC